rnacentral:rRNA from 1 species
GAUGAACGCUGGCGGCGCGCCUAAUACAUGCAAGUCGAGCGAGCGGACGAGAAGCUUGCUUCUCUGAUGUUAGCGGCGGACGGGUGAGUAACACGUGGAUAACCUACCUAUAAGACUGGGAUAACUUCGGGAAACCGUAGCUAAUACCGGAUAAUAUUUUGAACCGCAUGGUUCAAAAGUGAAAGACGGUCUUGCUGUCACUUAUAGAUGGAUCCGCGCUGCAUUAGCUAGUUGGUAAGGUAACGGCUUACCAAGGCAACGAUGCAUAGCCGACCUGAGAGGGUGAUCGGCCACACUGGAACUGAGACACGGUCCAGACUCCUACGGGAGGCAGCAGUAGGGAAUCUUCCGCAAUGGGCGAAAGCCUGACGGAGCAACGCCGCGUGAGUGAUGAAGGUCUUCGGAUCGUAAAACUCUGUUAUUAGGGAAGAACAUAUGUGUAAGUAACUGUGCACAUCUUGACGGUACCUAAUCAGAAAGCCACGGCUAACUACGUG